CGAUUACGGCUCAGUAACACGUCAAUAAUCUGCCCUUAAGUCUAGGAAAACCUCGGGAAACUGAGGCUAAACCCGGAUAGGUGAGAGAUACUGGAAUGUACUCUCGCUGAAAGGUAACGCUUAAGGAUGAGUUGGCGGCCGAUUAGGCUGUUGGUAGUGUAAAGGACUACCAAACCAACAAUCGGUAGGGGCCUUGAGAGAGGUAGCCCCGAGAAGGAUACUGAGACACGUGUCCUAGCCCUACGGGGUGCAGCAGGCGCGAAAACUCUACAAUGUACGCAAGUACGAUAGGGGAAUCCCGAGUGCUCAUGUUCUGCAUGGGCUUUUGUUAAGUGUAAAAAGCUUAGCGAAUAAGUGGUGGGUAAGACUGGUGCCAGCCGCCGCGGUAACCCCAGCACCACAAGUGGCAAUCGUGUUUAUUGGGCCUAAAGCGUUCGUAGCCGGUUUAGUAAGUUCUGAGUGAAAUCGUUCUGCUUAACAGAACGGCGUGCUUGGAGUACUGCUAGACUUGAGACCGGAGAAGAGUUAGAGGUAUGUCAAGGGGGAGCGGUAAAAUGCGACUAAUCCCCGAUGGACCACC
rnacentral:rRNA from 1 species